CGCCUCCUCUCCCGCUCGCUCCCCCUCUCUCUCCUUUCUCUCUCUCUCCUUCUCUCUCUCUCUCCUUCUCUCUCUCUCCCUCUCUUACCCCCCCCCUUCCCUCUGUCUCCCCCCCUUCUCUCUCCUUCUCAUUUUUUCUUUCGCAGUCUCUUUUCCUCCCCUCGCCGGUGCCUUGUGCUUCUCUUCGUUUUGUCUUGAGCAAUCUCUUCCUCUUGUCCUUCGUUCUUUCUUCUCACUCUCUUUUUCCUUCUUUGCUUUUUUUUCUCUCCUUUCCCCCUUCUGCUUUCCCUUCUCCCCUUCCUCUUUCCCUUCCUUCAUUGUGUCCCUUCCUCUCUCCUUUGUUCCUUCUUCCUUUUUUUCCUUCCCCCCUCCUUCCUGCCUCUCUCCUCCUCUCCCACCGGCUCUGCUCUCAUUCCGGCUCCCCAGCCCCACCAGCUCGCUCACCCGCCUCCUUGCUGGCUGCUCCCCAGCCCUCGCCAGGCCGGCUCCAGGGGCUCCCCAGACCCUCCCUGCAGGAACAUGGGACCCCCUUCUGCCAGGUGUCACUGGUCCUGGCAGCCCCUCCUGCAUCUGCCACAGGAGGGCCCCACCCCACGGUGUGCUUCCUGCUGCGGUUCUUGUCAAGCCGACGUUCUUUCCAGCCGGACCCUGAGCCAGGUGGUCCUGGCAGGGCCAGGUGUGGCAGGAGACUCCCUCACGGCAGAUGAGACCCUCCGUGCAGUUUCCCAUGGGAACCCUGCUUCCCUGGCCAGCUGACUGCUAGGGGGGCUCCCCUGUUCCCGCCCUCCUCCUCUCCAUCUCUGCUCCCCAGCAGCCCCCUGUUUCCUGUUGGCCCCCAUGUCCCCCCUCACCUGCAGGGCAUCGCUGAUCUAGACUCUGUGGCCUGGAGCCAGUGAGCCGAGCUCAGGAAGCCUGUUUUCCCGUCUUCCUCUGUCCCUGGCCCAGUGACCUCCCGUGGUAAGGAAGGUCACGUGGGGGCACAUUGCAGCCCCUUCAAGGACCCUGCAGAGGGAGCAGCAACGAGGAUGGUGCCAUCGACUGAACUCACUGGAAACCGGGCUGUAGCCGUCUACGCACUUAGUUUUACUUAUUCCUCACCACAGCGCUGGGUCAUAUCCUCCCCGUAUUACAGAGGAGGCACCUGGGGCUCAGAGAGGGGUCACAUCCUGUGCCUCCUUCCCUGAUGCCGAGAGGCUCCAACGAGACAGGAGACGAGAAGCACUUCACCGGGAGCCUGAAGACCCUCCUGAGAGGCAGCCGUGAUCACCCCACAUUAUCAUGGAAACCGAGGACCAGAGAGGCUGAGAAACAGGCCCGGGGUCCCCGUGCUCACACUGGUGGGGCUUGGGUUGAGAGGAGGUCUCAGGAAAGAGCACGGACCUUGGCUGGUCAGACUCAGCUCGGCCUCUCAGCAGCUGUGUGACCGCAGGCCGGUUCACUCACUUCUCCCAACUCCUGUGCCCUGGCUUCCUGUGGCUGCCAUAACCAAUGACCACAGACACAGUGGCUUAAAACAACACAUAUUCGUCCUCUUACAGUUUUGGAGGCCGAGUAUCCCAACCUCAGUUCUACUGGGCUGAAGUCAAGGUGUCGGCAGGGCCGCCUCCCUCAGGGGGCAUAGGGGACAAGCCUUCCUUGGCUCUUCCAGCUCCUGGUGGCUGCAGCAUCCUUGGCUUGUGGCCGCAUCACUCCAAUCUCCAAGGCCAGCAUCUUCCAGACUCUCUCUGCUCCUCUUCACGUGGCCAGACCCUCUGUGUGGUCACAGCUCUCUCUGCGCCCUCCCAGAAGGACACCUGUGAGUGCAUCUAGGGCCUGCAGAUAGCCCACGAUGAAGUCCCAUCUCAAGAUCCCCACUUCAUCACAUCCGCAAAGCUUUUGUCCUUCUUGCCGUGGUUGGCAGCAUCCCCAGGUUCCAGGGAUGAGCAGGAGGAUGUCUUUGGGGGUCGGGGUGCAUUUCCAGCCCCCCACACUGGCUGUGUCUCCAUGGAAGCAGGAGGGGUGUGCUCCACGGGCCGCUGGGGGAAUCCGGUGAGAUGGACAUGGAAACUGGCUCAACAAAUAUGGUGUCUCCACUCUGGGCUGGGCUGGGACAGGGAGAGGCAAUGGGGGAGCGUGCGGGUCAUUACACAGCCUGCCGUGGGAGCCGGUACCCCCCAUUGCUGAGUGCCUACUGUGUGUCAGGCCGGGCUGGUUCCCACUACCAGUCGCCUUUAAUUCCGUC
rnacentral:lncRNA from 1 species